CCGACUCGAAUUUCAAUUAUGUACACAAUUGAAAGAGACACCGAAACUAUCCCAGCAACUGACGCGCAUGCAGAUAACGCUAACAUGAACUCCUUCAAAUCAAGAUGAGGCCUCGUGAAGGCAUAACUACCAACUCCGUCAAGGUAGAGAUGAAGCUUAAGUACCUUGGCAACAAUGCUUGACAAGAGGAAGCAAGAAAAUGCGAUAACUUCAGAGAGAACAAGCUUUUUGGCUUCUCUAGGACCUGCACGACACUCGUGUCUCGAAUCCAGGCUCUUAAUGUCUGGCGUAGCCAAGGAUAAGCCCACAAAUACAGCUAUAGUGAGUAGGGAAUUCACGUUGACAAGAUCAUCCAGGAGUUUUAGAUGAACAUCUUUUACAUCAAGUUCUUCUGUCUUCUUUUCGGCUUUACCCAUGUCAAGGCCUUUGUUUGCAGACCAGCUUCAAUUCUGAGAAGUAAAUCUGAAAGCACAAGAACAUAUUUAGGAAGAUUGUUACCAUUAGAAACCAAAAUAUAUUGUACACAAAUUAAGAAAUAUUUGUGUUAUAUGGAACAUACCUUGUCACACUAAGUGCUCUGGAUGAGUGAAGUGUAGUGAUGAACAUCAAGUCGUGAGUGACGACUUAAAUAGCUGAGGAAACAGUUCAUAAAAAUAAUUAUUUCAUCGGAUUGGUUGGUGUGAUGUGAAAGAAAUUAAAGAACGAAGGCCUACUAAUUAAUUAAUGAAUCCACGGGAUCAGGUAUAUAAGUCAGAAAGUGAUUAAUAACUUUUUUUUACAUGUAUAGUACUCCCUCUGUCCCAUUUAAUUGUAUACGUUCUUUUUAACUGUUCGACAUGCAUUUCAAUGCUCUUAUAAAAUAUAGUUCCGUAACUUAUUUUUGAGAUUUUCUUUUUCUGAAUAAAAAUAUAACAUCCAAACUUUAAUUCAGAAAAAAUAAAUUUUAAAAAUAAAUUACACAACUACAAUUUACAGGAGCAUUAAAGUCCGUGCCGCGUCCCCGUCCACCAAUGUAUACUACUCAAGGGAGUAUAAAUAAGCUAAUUCUCAAUGAAUUAUAAGCAGGCAAAAUUAGUUUUGACCAAACUGCACACUCUAUAAUUCUUACAUUGUCUUCUUGUUUCCAGAGUUUUCAAUCUGGAAGAACACAUGGUUACAAGACUAUGACCCUUAUCUGGAAGAACACAUGGCUAGGGCUGUCAAACGGAUAAUUCGGAUACGGAUAUGCCUAUAUCCGUAUCCUUAUCCGCAACUGUCGGAUUCGAAUACGGAUAAUAUCCGCUUUAUUUCGGAUACGGAUAAUAUCCGCUUUUUCCCGGAUACGGUUGCGGAUAUUUCGGACGGAUGUCGGAUAUUUUUGAUGAUUAUACCGUAUUGAUGAUGAUUUUCGAACAAUUUUUUUAUGACUAAGCUCAAAUGAUACCUUUAUAUAUGUAUAAAGUAUUUUAGUAUUUGUAUGAUUAUAUAAAUUUUGUAUAAAUGUAUUAUUUAAUGCAUAUACACACACUACAAGCUAAUAACAUAAAAUUUUAAUUACGUAUAAUUAUAUAUUAUAUAAUUUAAAUAUCAUAUAUGUAUUUAGUUUCGGAUUCGAAUAUCACGGAUUCGGAUACGGAUAAUAUCCGCUUUUUCUCGGAUACGAAAAAUAUCCGCUUUUUCUCGGAUACGGUGGCGGAUUUUUCGGACGGAUUCGGAUUUUUCGGAUUUUUUUGACAGCCCUACACAUGGCUAGGAGACCCUUGAUCUUUUGUUUGUUUAUACAUCUUACCCCACGUCACUAUUGCGCGUCACUGAGUGCGUCAAAUUUGUCUACUUCAAUAUUAAGCCCUACAGUGUCCCUGCUUUCAAAGUUGUUAGAAGUCUACCAGAUACACCCUCCGUCCCCCUCAAUUGUUUACAUUGUAGGGGGACACGGAGAUCAAGACAAUGAAUGAAAAAUGAGUAAAGUUAGAUGAAAAGUGGGUAAAGUGGUGGAACCUAUCAAUAUUUAAUAAUAGAUUUGAGAUUGUAGAGGAAAGUAGUGAGUGUAAUAGUAGUUUUUAUCGUUUAAUACUCCCUUUGUCCCAGUCAAUUGUAUACGUUUCUUUUUCACUGACACGCUUUUUAAGGCUCUUAUAAAACAUAGUUCCACAACUUAUUUUUAAGAUUUUUUUUUUGUAUAAAAAUAUAAAUGUUAUACUUUUAUACAAAAAAAGAAAAUCUUAAAAAUAAUUUACAGAACUAUACUAUAUUGAAGCAUUAAAGUCCGUGCCGCGCCCCCGUCCCCCAGUGUAUACUAUUGACUGGGACGGAGGGAGUAUGAGAUAGUGGGAUAAGAUAGUUGGUGUAAUGAUGAAAAAAACAUACUAUUUAUAGUAACAUAAAGAAAUGAGAGGGAUAUCCCAAAAUAGUAACUGUAAAGAAAUGAGAGGAACAGAGAGGAGUAUUAUAAUCUGAAAUUUAGCAAAAAAUAAAGAGUAAAGCUACCGGUCCUCGGUGACGGUAAGGGAGAAGAGGUCGUGGCACACAAGAUGUUGGUGUUGUGGUAGAGCUCUUGUACCCCUUUGCGGGAGGUCGGGAGUUCGACUCCCCAUGUGUGCGUGUGUAAUCAAUUAACAAAUUAAAAAAAACGUGGCACACAGCUUUAGUUCUCUCGCAAAGUUUGAUUUUAUAAUUUAUUUUUAAAAAAUUUUCCGAAUAAAACUUAAACAUUUAAAUUUUUAUUCUGGAAAAAAAUUAAAAGAUAAGUUAUAAAACUAUAUUUUAUAAAAAAAUUUAAAAUGUGUGUCAGUGAAAGAGUAUAUGAAUGAACAUGACAAAGAGAGUACUCCCUCUAUUUUUAAAUAUAAGUCGCUUGACUUUUUGACAUACACUUCUAUAUGCUUUGACCGUAUAGUUAAAAUCAAUAUUAUUUAUAAUUUUUUUUAAUAAAAAUAUGUGAUUAAUAUUAUAAUUCAAAAAAUUCAUUUUAGAAAAUAAUGAUUUUAGCUAUGCAAUCAAAAAAUUUAGAAGUGUGUGUCAAAAAGUCAAACGACCUAUAUUUCAAACGAACGGAGGGAGUAUAUAUUUAAGUGAAGGAUACCUACUACAUCUAAUUAAUUAGAAGAAAUAACGCUUCGCGUGAUUGAAAAAGAUUAUUCAAUAUAAUUCUUUUAAAGAUUUAUAUGUUAACGAUUUUCAGCUACUUUUAGUUUGAUUUUAUGGUUAAAACAUAUGAAAAUAUUUAUAAAUAAUUGAAAUAUUUCACUAUAUUUCAAUAUAAUUCAAAUUUUGAAUAUUUAAAAAUGGUCAAGAAAUGCGAAAGAGUGAAUACCAAUGAGGAGUUGGACGGUUGAUGAUGAUCAAAAUCCAAAUGAUUACAAAUCUUUGGUUACAACAAAAUUGUUAUUUCUAGGCCUUUUUUUUUUUUUAUAUAUUUCAAAAUUUUUUCAAAAUAAAUUUUGUCAUAUGAAAAUCACCCCACCAUGACCUCCAUCUAUUAUUCCAAAUUUAUUACUUAAAUAUUAAUAUGUUCCACCACUUUAUCUACUUUUCUUCUUUUUUUCAUUACUUUACUUUAUACAUUUUUGUUAAUCUUUGUGUUCAAUACUUCAAUACAAACUAUAUAUUCCAGAAGACGGAGGGAGAAUCAAUGAUGGGUAAGUGUUUAUGCAGUCAAACCUCCUAUAAAUUGUUCUUAGCGAACCAUGAUUAACCUUGAAUUUCCAAAUGCUAAGCAGCAAAACAAAAACAGUCAGGAUGCAUGCACCUUUCUUCAAUUGUUGAAACAACGAACCCAAUAGAUCAUAUGAAAUUGCUGAAUUUAAAUUUCCAUUAAUAGCUGAACUUGCUUCUUCAAGUCCUUAAAGCACACUUCAUUAUGUGUACAUGAAAUACAUACAAUUUUCAUUAGCUAAACUUCCUUUGGCAAGUCCUUAGUACUCGGGGACUUGAGGACGUUUUCAUUUUCUCCAUUUUCAGGCUUCUUAUGGUCACUUUUAUAAGAAGCGUAAAUGGCUAUAGCAACUGAAACAACAUAAAUGAGCAAAGCAAACCCAACAAGUACGCCAAGAACCACCACGGCAGCAGUGGAUUCUGCACACCCACAUGACAAUUUGCCGACUCGAAUUUCAAUUAUGUACACAAUCGAAAGAGACACCGAAACAAUCCCAGCAACUGACGCGCAUGCAGAUAACGCUAACAUGAAUUCCUUCAAAUCAAGAUUCGGACUCGUGAAGGAAUAAUUACCAACUCCGUCAAGGUAGAGAUGAAGCUUAAGUACCUUGGCAACGAUGCUUGACAAGAGGAAGCAAGAAAAUGCGAUAACUUCACAGAGAAUCAGCCUUUUGGCUUCUCUAGGACCUGAGCGACACUCUCGUCUCG
rnacentral:lncRNA from 1 species